AGAAGACUAGUUAAAACAUAACAUUAGCAUGUCAAACUAAAAUUACUUCACAGUGUCUUCUA
rnacentral:tRNA from 1 species